UAAAGAUUCAUCGCUGAUAGAUAGGCAUGCGUUCCAUUAGGCAGUUGGCGGGGUAACGGCCCACCAAACCGACGAUGGAUAGGGGCUCUGAGAGGAAGGUCCCCCACAUUGGUACUGAGACACGGACCAAACUCCUACGGGAGGCAGCAGUGAGGAAUAUUGGUCAAUGGGCGUAAGCCUGAACCAGCCAAGUCGCGUGAGGGAUGAAGGUUCUAUGGAUCGUAAACCUCUUUUAUAAGGGAAUAAAGUGUGGGACGUGUCCUGUUUUGUAUGUACCUUAUGAAUAAGGAUCGGCUAACUCCGUGCCAGCAGCCGCGGUAAUACGGAGGAUCCGAGCGUUAUCCGGAUUUAUUGGGUUUAAAGGGUGCGUAGGCGGCCUUUUAAGUCAGCGGUGAAAGUCUGUGGCUCAACCAUAGAAUUGCCGUUGAAACUGGGAGGCUUGAGUAUGUUUGAGGCAGGCGGAAUGCGUGGUGUAGCGGUGAAAUGCUUAGAUAUCACGCAGAACCCCGAUUGCGAAGGCAGCCUGCCAAGCCAUGACUGACGCUGAUGCACGAAAGCGUGGGGAUCAAACAGGAUUAGAUACCCUGGUAGUCCACGCAGU
rnacentral:rRNA from 1 species